rnacentral:rRNA from 1 species
GCUAAUCUGCGAUAAGCGUCGGUAAGGUGAUAUGAACCGUUAUAACCGGCGAUUUCCGAAUGGGGAAACCCAGUGUGAUUCGUCACACUAUCAUUAACUGAAUCCAUAGGUUAAUGAGGCGAACCGGGGGAACUGAAACAUCUAAGUACCCCGAGGAAAAGAAAUCAACCGAGAUUCCCCCAGUAGCGGCGAGCGAACGGGGAGGAGCCCAGAGCCUGAAUCAGUGUGUGUGUUAGUGGAAGCGUCUGGAAAGGCGCGCGAUACAGGGUGACAGCCCCGUACACAAAAAUGCACAUGCUGUGAGCUCGAUGAGUAGGGCGGGACACGUGGUAUCCUGUCUGAAUAUGGGGGGACCAUCCUCCAAGGCUAAAUACUCCUGACUGACCGAUAGUGAACCAGUACCGUGAGGGAAAGGCGAAAAGAACCCCGGCGAGGGGAGUGAAAAAGAACCUGAAACCGUGUACGUACAAGCAGUGGGAGCCUCUUUAUGGGGUGACUGCGUACCUUUUGUAUAAUGGGUCAGCGACUUAUAUUCUGUAGCAAGGUUAACCGAAUAGGGGAGCCGAAGGGAAACCGAGUCUUAACUGGGCGUUAAGUUGCAGGGUAUAGACCCGAAACCCGGUGAUCUAGCCAUGGGCAGGUUGAAGGUUGGGUAACACUAACUGGAGGACCGAACCGACUAAUGUUGAAAAAUUAGCGGAUGACUUGUGGCUGGGGGUGAAAGGCCAAUCAAACCGGGAGAUAGCUGGUUCUCCCCGAAAGCUAUUUAGGUAGCGCCUCGUGAAUUCAUCUCCGGGGGUAGAGCACUGUUUCGGCAAGGGGGUCAUCCCGACUUACCAACCCGAUGCAAACUGCGAAUACCGGAGAAUGUUAUCACGGGAGACACACGGCGGGUGCUAACGUCCGUCGUGAAGAGGGAAACAACCCAGACCGCCAGCUAAGGUCCCAAAGUCAUGGUUAAGUGGGAAACGAUGUGGGAAGGCCCAGACAGCCAGGAUGUUGGCUUAGAAGCAGCCAUCAUUUAAAGAAAGCGUAAUAGCUCACUGGUCGAGUCGGCCUGCGCGGAAGAUGUAACGGGGCUAAACCAUGCACCGAAGCUGCGGCAGCGACGCUUAUGCGUUGUUGGGUAGGGGAGCGUUCUGUAAGCCUGCGAAGGUGUACUGUGAGG